GAGCCAGUAUAGCGUAGUGGUCUAAGUGAUGGACUAUGACUCUGGAGACCAGGGUUCAAUUCCUUGCUCACUCA